GACGAACGCUGGCGGCGUGCUUAACACAUGCAAGUCGAACGGGCCCGCCCCUGUUUUUGGGGGUGGGUUGAGUGGCGAACGGGUGAGUAUCACGUGAGUAACCUGCCCCCUGCUCCUGGAUAACUGCUUGAAAGGGCGGCUAAUACGGGGUGUGCCGGCUGGUCCGCAUGGGCCUGGUCGGGAUAGUUUCAUCUUCGGGUGUUUCGGUGGGGGAUGGGCUCGCGGCCUAUCAGCUUGUUGGUGGGGUGAUGGCCCACCAAGGCGGUGACGGGUAGCCGGCCUGAGAGGGUGGGCGGCCGCACUGGGACUGAGACACGGCCCAGACUCCUGCGGGAGGCAGCAGUGGGGGGUAUUGCACAAUGGGCGGAAGCCUGAUGCAGCGACGUCGCGUGAGGGAUGGAGGCCUUCGGGUUGUGAACCUCUUUCUCCGGUGGUGAAGGCCCUGUCCGUUGCGGCGGGGUUGACGGUAGCCGGGUAUGAAGCGCCGGCUAACUACGUG
rnacentral:rRNA from 1 species